rnacentral:tRNA from 1 species
GCUUAAGAAAUCAAGUUGGUAGAGAAUGAGACUCUUAAUCUCAGGGUUGUGGGUUUGAGCCCCAUGUCGGGCA